rnacentral:rRNA from 1 species
UACUAGAGUAGCACUCGCAUAUCAAUAAGCGGAGGAAAAGAAACUAACAAGGAUUCCCCUAGUAACGGCGAGUGAAGCGGGAAGAGCUCAAAUUUGAAAUCUUAAAGGGUUUCCCUUUACGAAUUGUAGUUUAAAGAAGUGUUUUCUGUUGAGGUUUUGGUAAAAGUUCUUUGGAAUAGGACAUCAUAGAGGGUGAGAAUCCCGUAUUUGACCUUUACUUUCAACUUUGUGAUACACUUUCAAAGAGUCGGAUUGUUUGGGAAUGCAUGUCCAAAAUGGGUGGUAAAUUUCAUCUAAAGCUAAAUAUUGGCGAGAGACCGAUAGCGAACAAGUACCGUGAGGGAAAGAUGAAAAGAACUUUGAAAAGAGAGUUAAACAGUACGUGAAAUUGUCAAAAGGGAAGCGUUUGACACCAGUGUUGUUUUUCUGAAAAUCAAUUAAAGAACUGUUUAUGCUAAGCUGUUUAGACUUUAUCAGCUAUCUGUUUAGUUUUGAGCUUUUCUUUAAUGCACUUUUCAGUUAACAAGUCAACAUCAAUUUCUUUUGCUGUAAAAAAGCUUGAGGAAGGUGGCUUGAGAUUCGUCUUAAGUGUUUAUAGCCUCUUGCCUAUGCAGUCGGAGAGAUUGAGGUCUGCAGCGUAGAUCCUUCGGGGCUAAAUGCAUUUGUGCUAAGUUAUAGCAUUUUAUAGACAACUUGUUGACUAUGAUUUGUCUUGUAGCUUACUCGCUUAUGUUAUUUUACCUACGCUUAGGAUGUUGAACUACUGAGACAUAGA